GCUGUGGCUCAGUAGUAGAGCAUCUGUUUUUCAUGCAUAGGGUUCCAGGUUCAAUCCCUGGUGUCUCCA